rnacentral:rRNA from 1 species
CCUACGGGUGGCAGCAGUAGGGAAUAUUGCUCAAUGGGCGAAACCCUGAACCAGCAACGCCGCGUGGAGGAUGAAGGUUUUCGGAUUGUAAACCCCUUUUGUUAGAGAAGAUAAUGACGGUAUCUAACGAAUAAGCACCGGCGAACUCCGUUCCAGCAGCCGCGGUAAUACGGAGGGUGCAAGCGUUACUCGGACUCACUGGGCGUAAAGAGGGCGUAGGCGGGAUAGCAAGGCAGAUGUGAAAUCCUAUGGCUUAACCAUAGAACUGCAUUUGAAACUGUUAUUCUAGAGUAUGGGAGAGGUAGGUGGAAUGCUUGGUGUAGGGGUAAAAUGCGUAGAGAUCAAGAGGAAUACUGAUUGCGAAGGCGACCUGCUAGAACAUAACUGACGCUGAUGCGCGAAAGCGUGGGUAGCAAACAGGAUUAGAUACCCCUGUAGUC